GGGGAAUUUUCCGCAAUGGGCGAAAGUCUGACGGAGCAACGCCGCGUGAGUGAAGAAGGUUUUCGGAUCGUAAAACUCUGUUGUUAAAGAAGAACAAGGAUGAGAGUAACUGCUCAUCCCCUGACGGUAUUUAACCAGAAAGCCACGGCUAACUACGUGCCAGCAGCCGCGGUAAUACGUAGGUGGCAAGCGUUGUCCGGAUUUAUUGGGCGUAAAGCGAGCGCAGGCGGUUCUUUAAGUCUGAUGUGAAAGCCCCCGGCUCAACCGGGGAGGGUCAUUGGAAACUGGAGAACUUGAGUGCAGAAGAGGAGAGUGGAAUUCCACGUGUAGCGGUGAAAUGCGUAGAUAUGUGGAGGAACACCAGUGGCGAAGGCGACUCUCUGGUCUGUAACUGACGCUGAGGCUCGAAAGCGUGGGGAGCAAACAGGAUUAGAUACCCUGGUAGUC
rnacentral:rRNA from 1 species